GAUGAAGAACGUAGCGAAAUGCGAUAAGUAAUGUGAAUUGCAGAAUUCAGUGAAUCAUCGAAUCUUUGAACGCACCUUGCGCUCCUUGGUAUUCCGAGGAGCAUGCCUGUUUGAGUGUCAUUAAAUUCUCAACCUCACCAGUUUUCUGAACUGUUCUUCGAGGCUUGGAUGUGGGGGUUUGUGCAGGCUGCCUCACGGCGGUCCGCUCCCCUGAAAUGCAUUAGCGAGUUCAUACUGAACUUCCGUCUAUUGGUGUGAUAAUUAUCUACGCCGUGGACGAGGAUCAGACUCGCUUCUAACCGUCCGCGAGGACAAUACCUUGACAAUUUGACCUCAAAUCAGGUAGGACUACCCGCUGAACUUAAGCAUAUCAAUAAGCGGAGGA
rnacentral:misc_RNA from 1 species